rnacentral:tRNA from 1 species
GGCGGAUGUCAGCGGUUCGGGUCCGCUUAUCUCCA